rnacentral:rRNA from 1 species
AACGAACGCUGGCGGCAGGCCUAACACAUGCAAGUCGAGCGAAGCCUUCGGGCUUAGCGGCGGACGGGUGAGUAACGCGUGGGAACGUGCCCUUUGGUACGGAAUAGCCCCGGGAAACUGGGAGUAAUACCGUAUGUGGUCGAGAGACGAAAGAUUUAUCGCCAAAGGAUCGGCCCGCGUUGGAUUAGGUAGUUGGGGAGGUAAUGGCUCACCAAGACGACGAUCCUUAGCUGGUCUGAGAGGACGACCAGCCACACUGGGACUGAGACACGGCCCAGACUCCUACGGGAGGCAGCAGUGGGGAAUAUUGGACAAUGGGCGCAAGCCUGAUCCAGCCAUGCCGGGUGAGUGAUGAAGGCCUUAGGGUUGUAAUGCUCUUUUAGCAGGGAAAAUAAUGACGGUACCUGCAGAAUAAGCCCCGGCUAACUUCGUGCCAGCAGCCGCCACGGAAA